CAGUCGCCGCGGUAAUACGUAGGUGGCAAGCGUUGUCCGGAAUUAUUGGGCGUAAAGGGCUCGCAGGCGGUUUCUUAAGUCUGAUGUGAAGGCCCCCGGCUCAACCGGGGAGGGUCAUUGGAAACUGGGAAACUUGAGUGCAGAAGAGGAGAGUGGAAUUCCACGUGUAGCGGUGAAAUGCGUAGAGAUGUGGAGGAACACCAGUGGCGAAGGCGACUCUCUGGUCUGUAACUGACGCUGAGGAGCGAAAGCGUGGGGAGCGAACAGGAUUAGAUACCCCUGUAGUCCCUGUCUCUUAUAA
rnacentral:rRNA from 1 species